AUAGAAAUUAAAUAAUGCAAGAAUACCUUAAACCACUUGAUAAAUACAUAUUUUCGUGCAAAUAUCUUUCCUAUAAUCUACUAGGGCAAACAAGACAGUGGAAUACCAGCCUCUAAGCAUUAGUAAAAUGGCUAGGUUUGGUUAGGUUAAGG
rnacentral:sRNA from 1 species